UAUAUUUCUAUGUUUGUGACUCUUUUAUCAUGUGUUCAGUCAGAUAUUGUCUUGACCCAAAAAAGUAAUGAAGUCAAAAAGCCUGGAGAGUCUCUGCGACUGACCUGUCAUGGUUCAGGGCAGGACAGUGAUGGAGAUACUGUUACUGCUUACCCCUUGAGCUGGAUUCGACAAGAGCCUGGAAAAGGACUUGAAUGGCUAGCUCUUAUUAGCUCUGACAGCAGCACUACAAAGUAUGCCAGCAGCGUUGAAGGACAAUUUACAAUCUCCAGAGACAAUUCUAAACAGGCACUGUAUUUGGAUGUGAACAGCCUCAAAAUUGAAGACACGGCCACAUAUUUUUGUGCUGUAGGCACAAUGAGUAAUGUCUUGUGGUCUCUCAUACAAAAUCCUCAGAAAAGUCUUUUCUGUCCCCUGCCUCCCCCCCAAAAAAACAAACUGAAAUUAGUACAUUUUCCCACAAACUGA